GCUGAAAAUGCCAGGAGAGAAUUUGAGAAUGAGGUGGAUUUGUUAAGCAAAAUUCAUCAUCCAAAUAUCAUUUCUCUUGUGGGUUAUAGUGUUCAUGAGGACAUGGGGUUGUCUACGAAUUGAUGCAAAAUAGGUCCCUUGAAGAUCUAUUGCAUGGACCUCAUGGAUCUUCAUUAAGUUGGUAUAUCCGGUUGAAGAUUGCUCUCGACACAGCAAGAGGAUUAGAAUAUCUGCAUGAAUUCUGCAAACCAGCAGUGAUCCAUAGAGAUCUGAAAUCUUCUAAUAUACUUUUGGACUCCAACUUCAAUGCCAAGCUAUCGGAUUUUGGUCUUGCCGUAGCUGAUAGCUCCCAGAACAGGAGCAAACUCAAGCUUUCC
rnacentral:misc_RNA from 1 species